GCCCGGGUGGCGGAAUGGUAGACGCAAGGGACUUAAAAUCCCUCGGAAGUUUUUUCCGUGCCGGUUCAAGUCCGGCUCCGGGCA
rnacentral:tRNA from 1 species